GUGGGGAAUAUUGGGCAAUGGGGGAAACCCUGACCCAGCAACGCCGCGUGAAGGAAGAAGGUUUUCGGAUCGUAAACUUCUAUCCUUGGUGAAGAUAAUGACGGUAGCCAAGAAGGAAGCCCCGGCUAACUACGUGCCAGCAGCCGCGGUAAUACGUAGGGGGCAAGCGUUGUCCGGAAUGAUUGGGCGUAAAGGGCGCGUAGGCGGCCUGGUAAGUCUGGAGUGAAAGUCCUGCUUUUAAGGUGGGAAUUGCUUUGGAUACUGUCGGGCUUGAGUGCAGGAGAGGUAAGCGGAAUUCCCGGUGUAGCGGUGAAAUGCGUAGAGAUCGGGAGGAACACCAGUGGCGAAGGCGGCUUACUGGACUGUAACUGACGCUGAGGCGCGAAAGUGUGGGGAGCAAACAGGAUUAGAUACCCGAGUAGUCC
rnacentral:rRNA from 1 species